UAAAACGUAGGACGCAAGCGUUAUCCGGAAUUACUGGGCGUAAAGCGCGUGUAGGCGGGUUCGCAAGUCGGUCGUGAAAGCUCACGGCUAAACUGUGAGAGGACGGACGAGACUGCGAGUCUAGAGGACGAUAGAGGAGUGUAGAAUUCCGGGUGUAGUGGUGAAAUGCGCAGAUAUCCGGAGGAAUACCAGUGGCGAAGGCGACACUCUGGGUCGUAACUGACGCUGAGACGCGAAAGCAUGGGGAGCGAACGGGAUUAGAAACCCCGGUAGUCCAUGCCGUAAACGUUGCAUACUAGAUGUUCGGGAGGGCAUUGCUCUCUUGAGCGUCGCAGCUAACGCGUUAAGUAUGCCGCCUGGGGAGUACGGUCGCAAGGCUA
rnacentral:rRNA from 1 species